CUGUUGGGACUGCGGAGGACAUUAUUGAUUAAUGUAGAGUUUGGUUGUAGCUGGCUCCUAAUUAAACUUGGGGGCAUGUGCACACCUUUCUCUUUCAUCCCAUACACACCUGUGCACCUGUGAGACAGAUGUUUUGUGGGGGGGAAGGAACUUUAUUGGACCUUCUACUCCCCCUUGACUUCUGUCUACUUAAUUCAUAUAAACUCAAUUUAUUUUAAAACGGAUGUAAUGGAUGUAACACAUCUAAUACUAAGUUUCAACAACGGAUCUCUUGGCUCUCGCAUCGAUGAAGAACGCAGCGAAAUGCGAUAAGUAAUGUGAAUUGCAGAAUUCAGUGAAUCAUCGAAUCUUUGAACGCACCUUGCGCUCCUUGGUAUUCCUUGGAGCAUGCCUGUUUGAGUAUCAUGAAAUCUUCAAAGUCAAACCUUUUGUUAAUUCAAUUGGUUCUGCUUUGGUAUUGGAGGAUUAUUGCAGCUUCACACCUGCUCCUCUUUGUGCAUUAGCUGGAUCUCAGUGUUAUGCUUGGUUCCACUCAGCGUGAUAAGUUAUCUAUCGCUGAGGACACCCUGUUAAAAAGGGGUGGCCAAGGUAAAUGCAGAUGAACCGCUUCUAAUAGUCCAUUGACUUGGACAAUAUCUAAUUUAUGAUCUGAUCUCAAAUCAGGUAGGACUACCCGCUGAACUUAAGCAUAUCAAA
rnacentral:rRNA from 1 species